CCCAUCCGUUAUGUUUCAUAGUUAAAACCAUCCUUUCGCUAAAAUGUCCGUUCUGUUGCAAGCGGCACAAGUAGCGAUUUCUGGGUAACGGACAGAGAACAGGCUCUCAGAAAAGAUUUGCAAUUGGAAAACAGGGUUUGAAAAGGGACUAGGAAGGAACCAGUCAAAGAUUCCACUGCAGGUGUAACUCGGCGAAAAAGUUUGUCAGCCUGACUUGCCCUGCCGGUGACUUCUCAGUUUGAGUAUGAGGUGACCUGAACCACGGAGCUGUGUUUAAUUGCUCGCUUUACAGGAAAUCACCUCCUAACUGCUGCUGCGCUCUCUCCAGCCAACACCCAAAGCCACUGCCAGGGUCACGGGGAUGAUGAGACCUCACAAGGGUGGCUUCUGUAUUCAGAGGCUUAGUCUAUUGUCAUCAGCGUGCAACAUGGUGGCAUGGAGGCAGGCUGCGAGCAGCAAGGACGUGAGAGGAAAGCCCAGGAGCAUCAUCAGAUGUGGAUGGAAGGAGACAGAGACGUGAGUGAGCCCAGAAACUGAUAUAGAAGACAAGCGUUGAAGGAGAAAGCACGCAGUGGAUCGGUCCCAGCUGGACAUUAUGUGGGUGCUGGCCCCAAUUAAGUUCUCUCUUCUCCACGGACACUUUAGGACCCUCACUGAAGGGACUGCACAUCCAGCUGCAGCUAGGAAGCAGUCCAGGGGAGAAGAGAGAGAAGUUCAGUGUGAACCCAGAGUAAAUUCCUCCUGUGCUGUGUGUGAAAUGGUUGGAAAUGACUAACUGCUGCGGGCUGAAGAAGAAGGAAUAAUUUCUUGCACACCCGAUUCUGUGGGCCCCUAAGUUAGAGCAGCUCUGGUACACAGAGAGAGAAGUUUCCGUUCACUUUUGUGUUCCUGUUCUAGACCACAGGUUCCCAGACUUGUCUGCAUGUGGUAGCCACCUGAAGCACACAGAGACCCGUCCCUGCCUUGCAUCUCUUCCACAGAGGUCAUCCUUUCAAUUGUUCUGCAGUGAGGCCUGGGAUUUGUCGCUUCUCCAGGUGAUCGUAAUGUGCAGACCAGCUUCAGAAUCACUGUUCUAGAAUGUUCCAAGGAUCUGUCAAGGAAUGACUCAUUCCUAUGACAUCUAAAAGAAGACCACCUAUACUUUAUAACUGGUUUUGAAGUAAAAGUGUACCAAUACAAUUCUGAAAUUAUAACUUUGUAUCACGGAAUUAUUGCACCCUAAAAACAGACAAAAAGCCAAAUCUUUUUGUCUAUUUAAUACUUUUCCUAUCAUAUUAUAACUAGUAGCCCCCUGUAAAAUUCUCUCUUGUUAUGAAUUAUGCUGAAUAGACAUGAAUUGGUGAAUUAUAUAUAAUUAGAUAUUCAUAUACACAUACACAAAUGUAUAAAAAUACAACCACAUUUAUAGCCGGAAAAAAGAUCUAAGUAUAAUUUCCAUAGCCCCUAUAAGUCCAAGCUAAGUAGAAUGAUGUUUAAAUGUUCUGUGUCCAAGCCAGCGCCUACUUUACCGCUACCCAGGCGGCAUGGUAAGAAACUUUCCACCUUGCUUCCUCUCUCCAUCAGCCCGGUCCAGUUUGAUUGUCCCUCACGACGCAAGUGCAGAUCAACAAGUCUGUCCGUCUGCAUCCUGUAGACUGACCUUCAUUUCCGCUGUUGACCAUGUCAAUGUUCUCAUAACCCUUGAGAUAAAAUCUUACAGCCUUAAAGGGCCUUUUAAAUUUCUUCUUGUUGUAGCUACUGUUUCUCAGGCAAAUUCUGACCAGCCUGCUAUGCCCUCACUUAAAAUCCAAUCUUAGGGUUUUCAUUUCCUAAGAAACUAAGUUAUAGAGCUUCCACUAGCUUUGGAAUCCCCUUGCACAAGUACACUGAUGUGGGGUUAUAUUUGUGGAUGUCUGUCUGUCUAUCUAUCUAUCUAUCUAUCUAUCUAUCUAUCUAUCUAUCUAUCUAUCUAAUCUCCCCCCCCUUCUGUGUGUGUGUGUGUGUGUGUACGAACACAUGCCUGUGAAUCUUCUUAUGUUAGGGUGAAUAUACAUGUGUGGGUCCCCAUGUACAUACGUGUCUAUGUUUGCAUGUCUGUGCUUGCGUGUCUGUGCUUGCAAAUUUUGGACAACCUAAAAUGUUGCCUUCGGGAAUAUUUAUCUCCUUUGAAACAAGGUCUGUCAUUGGUCUGGACCUCACCAAUUUUGCUAGAAUGGCUGGCAUGUGAACCCAGGGAUUCCUGCUUCUGCUUCCCCGGGGCUGAUAUUACAAGCUCACGGCACCGUGUCAUCAUUAUGAUGUAGGUUUUGAUCAAGCUCAGAUCCUCAUUCUUGGCUUUAUCAACUCAGCUAUAGCCUUGUUUGUGUGUUCUUAAUGUGAAGAUGCUGAAAGCGUUCCAGCACUCUGUGACUCUCUUGUCACUAUACGCUACCCAGGAAUCCCUCUGGCCAUGGAUGUGCAGUACCCAUUCCUGUCACCAUGCACUACCCAGGAAUCCAGUUCUCUGGCCAUGGAUGUGCAGUCCACUUAAGACUGAGUUGCCUUAAGGCAGGAGUCUUGUCAAAUGUGCAUAGUGUCACCCUCCAGCACCAAGCACCAUACAUGUUGUACAAGAGAUAUAAAUAUUUAUUAAACGAGUACAAAAUUGGCAUGUAUAGCUUUUCUUUUUCCUGAUUACUGCACUUCCUCAUUCCUCUUGAGCUGGAAAGAGCUAAAGUCAGAUGAGUCAUGAAGUGUGACACUAGGAGUGGUCACGUGAAGGAACAAAUACACGUGUGCACCUCAGCUGGACCUGAUGUCACCAGUUUGAGUCAACACUGAUGACGUCACCAAUUUGAGUAAACACCGGGUCUGCAUAAGACUCCUCAAGACAUUUCUGCUUUUUUCCUUAAGGAGUCUGUCGCUCUUCCUGUUCAGAAAUGGUUUGGAUUUGAAUUUGUUUCUGUCUUGCUUGUCUCGCUCUGUCUUUGAUGCUGCGUUGACAUUUGCUAUAACUUUAAAUUCCACGUUCUCUGUGCAGUUUCCAGACCACCCGUGUACAAACCAUGAGACGCCCGUGUCUGUUCACUAGAACACCACAGUAGUGACUGGAAUACUUAUGGAUCUUAGGAGCUUUCCCGCCUUCAAACCCAAGAAAAAAAUUUGUCAUUUAUGUUCUCUCUGGUUCUUUCAAGCAUAAAUAUACACUUAUAUUUUAAAAUUUGAUAGUGGGUUUUGUUCUAUCCACUCUCAUAAGUACUUAUUGAACACACACUGCCAUUUACUUGGUGACUUUCUGUUAGUGGGCCUUUGAAAUUUUCAACAAGCUACUUGGAAUUGUGCUGACGGGACUCAUGCCUGUUCCUGGUCUGUGCAAACGCUCACCUUGUGUGUAUCUAGAAGGGGGUUGCUCAGCCCCAGCGUAAGAAAGCAAGCGGCUCCUUCAGGCUCAACACUUAAGACAUUAUCUUCAAAACUGGAUUCAAUUUCAUACACGUGCAAAAGAAAUCCAUUUGUAUUUCAAGUUUUUUUUAAAUUUCCAGUAAUUUAGAGAUGAUAUUCCAAUCAGACUACAACACCACUUUUAAGAGGUAGAUCAAUUCCAUUUAGUUACUGGCCAAAUGUAUUUCUUUCCAGUGAAACGAUUCCUCUUUACAAUUUACACAUGUAUCUAUGUCAUGCUGACACUUGGAGGAACUAUGUUACAAGUUUUUAUUGCUUUUGUGGUUUGGCUUUGCUAUUUUCUCUCUUUUUGAAGGAAAACACUUCCACUUGUUUUAAGUUUCUUUUUGUACAUUAAGCCAUGAACUCACUAGGAAAGGACUGAGCAGUUCCCAGCCCCUCCCUUUAGUCCUCACUAACGUCCCCGGGCACAGCUAGCUGGAGCUAAAGCUCCACAUACUUCUCUUUUUGACUGUAUUUUUCUGAUUGUUUUUGUUUCUGCUCUGAAGAGUGUCUAAUAGGCUCAGUGCACACAUUAAGUCCCUGGUUAAUACUCUUACCCUUAAGUUGUUUAUUUACAAUGUUGCCCAUGGCAUGCUGGGUGAUAUUGUGAACUCUGUCAGUUUUGCCGUGGUAACAGUCAUGAGCCUUUCCUGUUUUGAACAGUACCCAUUUCCUCGAUGUCUACAAGAUCACAUUCUGUGUACAUUUACAUGCUUGUGACCAAAGGAACAACAUCCCUAAAAGGCCGAGAGAACAUAUGUCAGGCCCCUCCCCCUUUCCCUAUGUGCUUGUCACUCUGGCAAAUUAUUGACAAAGGGCUGCUGAGGCUGGAGGGGCAUUUUCUAAUUUCCUUAUGUUGUGGAUUAAUUUUAAUGUGGUCAAUUAGCAUCUUUAUCUUUGUGGGGUGUAUGUGUGUGUCCACACACACAGACACACACGCUCAUGUUUUUGGAGGUCAGAGAGAGACAUUAGGUUGCUAUCAUUCACCACCUUCUGUGUUGAGACAUGGUCUCUCACAGAACCUAGAAUUUACCUGUUUGACAAAACUAGCCAAUGAGCUUCAAGGAGUCCCUUGUCUCUGCCUCCCCUGCUCUAGAAUUGUAGGUACACCCCACCUCGACAUUUUACAUGAGUUCUGGAGAUUUCAACAUGGAUCAUGCUUGUGGAAAAAGUACUUUACAAACCAAUCCAUCUCCCCAGCUCCAUCAGAGUAGUUAUGUGAGAAUUAAAGUUCCUUAUAGACAAAUAUAUGAAAAGAUUAGUUUAUCUCUAUUCUUGGAAAUAUAUAUGUGGUUUUCAAAUAUUAAUUUUAUUUAUAAUUCUCAAUCUUGAAUUAAGAAUACAUUAUUAUCAAAUUGGAGAUACCAAAAUAUUAACUAUUUUUUAAUUGCUAGAUAAGUUUUUGCUUGUUUGUUUUAUCGACACUGGGUUUCUCUGUAGUUUUGAAGCCUGUCCUGGAACUAGAUUUUGUAGACCAAGCUGGCCUUGAACUACUCACAGAGUUCUAGGAUUUAAGAUGUACACGUCACCACCACCCAGCUAUAUAAGUAUUAAAAAUGUUUACUUUAUGACUUCAAAUUAUGUGUAUAUGCCUGUGUCUGUGUUGGUGUUUGUGCAGUGAGUGAAUGUACCAACCGAGACCAGAGGUGUCAACGCCUGCGGUACGAAGUCGUGGUGACCACCUGGCAUAGACCUGACAGAAGCAUGGAUCCUCGCUAAGAAUAGUAGUAUGCACUCCUAAGCUGGCUCUUUUCUCCAGCCCUAUUAAUGUUUCUUGAAAGAAAAAUUGAUGGACCAAAGACACCAAUGAAAGAAGGAAUUGAUAAAGUGGACUGGAGGGAAAUGAGGAACAUCUCUGCGACUUGUGAUAUAAGGAUGAGUGAGGGGAUAAAGACGGAGAGAAAGCUUCCAGACAGCACCAGAGAGAGGACCAUUAUCUACAAUAUAUAGGAACUAGGAAAAUCUCAUAAGAAAAAGAAACAGCUGGUUAAGAACGUGGAAGAAACUUGAACAGACACACCCUACUGAAUAGCGUACAGAGAUAGCUUGAGAGCUUAUAAAAAGAUUACCACUGUUGCCAGGGUGUAUGUUCCCUGGCAAGACCGCCGUGCCCAUGGGUUUGUAAAGGGCUUAGAGAGAAGCCACUCUGGCCAUGGAUUUAGGGAAUACCAUCUGCUUUAUUGAACGUGAACAACCAUUUACAUAAUGGAAGCGCAUGGGCUGUGAUUGGUUAGCACGUACCACCAGGGGCUCUAUGUGGGAGAGGCACGUUAGAGGUGUGGAGAGUGCAGACCUGUCCAUGAGCCAACCACUCAUGCUCCUUCAGAAUUAAGCAUUAUACCUUCAGGAGCACGUGCCAUGGUUUUUAUUUAGAAUGAAGUAUGCCAAGUAAGCUGACCGCCGUUCAUGCCUGCCUUGUCUCCUACAAAAGGUGUUGACUACCGUUAAGGGGCUGGCAAUUAAAACAGUGAUGUGGUACUGGCACACCCGAUAGGAUAGUCAGCAUCCCAAACACUAACUGUAAAUGCUGGGGAUAUGGGAGCAACAGGAGUGGACUAGUAUUUUGGAAAGGAGUUUGACAGCCUUUAAAAAAAGAAAACAAAACAAAAAAACCUAACUGUACUCUCAUUAUAGAACCCAUAAUAAUGUCCCUUGAUAUUUAUUCAAAUGAGUUAUAAUUUGUGUCCACACAAAAAUCUGCAGGUGAAAACUGACACCUGCACCAUCCAUGAUUGACCCAAACUGGAAGCAAUUAAGAUACUUAGCAAGUGCAUGGAUAAGUAAACCACGGUUCACUGGAAGAUUCCGGUGGAUGUGCUAAGCAGCAUCUCCGAUUUUGCUUUUUGUGAAGUGUCACAGACGCUGUAGAACAAUCCACAAAGAGCAUAAUCAAGGACAAGAAGAACGCCAGUGGUUAAUGGUUACAAGGAGGAAGAAGAAAAAGCGAUGAAUGAUGGACACAAAGGAAUUGGGGGGCAGGGGGACUACACUGCACGAUGCUACAGCAGUGGAACCAUGACACGGACAUUCAAAACUUAUAGAAUGAAGACAACUCGCAUGUAAACUGUGAGUCAUGUGGACGUCAUUGGUUGGGUCAGUCGCCACUUCGCUGCAGGAAGGUGGUUGUGAAGGAAGUCAUGUGCCUAUGGAGAUGCGGGACUAUGGGAAGUCUCUAAAACUGAUCUGAGAAAAUGGUCCAUGGCUGAGGACUUUGCAGAACAAAGUGAUGACUUCAGAUAGACACCUGCUAGCUUUUGAGUUCACAUGGACCUCUCCAGGGACUUGCGCCUCUGACGAAGUCUGCUGCCUGUGUCUGACUUGUGGUAAUUUGGGGAGAACAGAUAGCCGGGAACACGGGGUAGAGCGGUCAGGGAUCCUGGAAACACGCAGGGCAGAGUGAGGAGAGCUGCCGGAGAAGCAGCUGCCGGGUGGAUGGUCUCAUCUUGACCUGGAAAGAUGCCACAGAACCUAGGUGGCACGGUGGCACUUGAUCACGGGUGGACGGUUGGCACUGAGGUCAUGAUGUCUGUCCUGCACUUACACACGGGAUCUGCUCACUUUGCAUUUUGUAGCGACUCUGUCUGAAUAGACGGCUGGUAGGUACAUGGAAGAGUUAGGCACGUGAUAGUUACUGUAUAACUUGACAACUGAAUGGAGAGAAAGUCAAGAGGCGAGGUUGGCACCAGAUGGAUAAAAAUAAAAGGAGCAACUGCAACCACUACUACAUGAAAGAACACAUUUUUUCCAUUUUUCUAAGGUGCCAAAGCAAUUUUAAAAGGACACAAAAGUGAGCUUAUUUUAAACUAAUCCGUGUGUACACAAAUAAUAGUUGGAGAGAAAUAGAAAGUUUUUUUUUUUUAUUCUGAAGUGUGGCAUAAGGAAAUCUCAGAGUUCAGUCAACUAGAUGGGAGAUCAAAGUGUCCAGGCAUUUCUUAAUUGGAAAUUUCCUUCUCUCAGCCCCUGAAGAAAAUUUCCUUCUGUUGUAGCAUCUGUUUGCUGUGGUCCAAGAGUUUCUCCAGUUUAACAAAUGUGUCUGUUGAUUGUGACAUCUGGGAAGGCUGAGUAGGCAACACACACAAAAGGUGAUGUGGUUGGUGACUAACUCCCUAAGCCUCUGGCGUGUUCUUUACACUCAUAGGACUAAAGUAGUGGUCCACACAGUACUUUUUUUUGAUGCUUUUUUAAAAAGAAGAAGCCUCCAGUUUAUGCAAUAUUGGAAUUGUACCUUUCCUUAAUCUACUUACCAUGAUGUCAGUAGAAAAGUUUGACUUGGUGUGGCAAUAGAGCUUAAGAGAUGAUUUCUGGGUGUGUCUGUACAGACUGGCACUUUGUCAACAAGGGGACUGUCUAUAUUUUUUUGCUUGCAUUUGUCUACUGUCAAAAGGUACAUCUUAACAACCUCUAUGCCAAGUACACUGCAAAACUGAGGAAGAAAAUGCGUUAGAAUUUAUGUUUGUAAGCAAAAACCAUCGUAUUAGAGAUUUCUGACAUCUCUUAUGCGUAUUCAGGAAGUGUUUAAAGAGAAAGACCUGCCGAAUUUCUUGCUUUCAUUUGAGGGAAAAGAUCUUACAAUCUUUGAAAAAAAUUAGAAAUUCUUGUAAACCUUUUACCUUUCAAAGUCUUUUAAAACUCUUGUAAUUUUGAUAUUGUUUUCUCUUGCUUUCACAAUACCCUAUGCCCCCAUGUUCUCUCAUUGCUUGCAAGGAUCCAUCAGAUACUCUACAUAUAUUUUUUUUAAUUUUGUCACUUUUUGUUUUUUUCAGUUUCCACAUUUAGAAAUUUAAGAAGUAAACAUGAUGACUUUCAUUAGAUUUCGGCCAAAUGCUCCACAGGAACGUCUCCUGUCCAUCGGCCUUAAAUGAGUGUUCCCAUUCUACUUCUGUAGGUCAUGCUUCUCUGUGGACCUGAAGUGCAGACAAUCCUGAUGUCACCGGCAGGGGUGGCUUCUACGUGACUUGAGGGUUCUGUGUUAUGAUCAGCCAACUGGUCUGCAGGCCAUGAGCUUGCUCGCCACCCAGCCUGGAGACCUGGUCUCAGAUUGAUCAGUCCUUUCCUUUCCUGAUUUCGUGUUCUUGGCGUGACUGGAAUUCUCUGAGCUUCAGGGUUGACAUAAGGUAUAGAAAAUACAGGAAAACUCUUCAUGUGGUAAUGGAACUUUUAGCACAGAAGGAGCCCAUGCCCUGAGGAGAGGCAGGCGUUGAUUCCUGAGUUAUAGGACAUCAAGAAGAAGGGGUCUUUGCCCCGGGCUAGCUGGAAAGUCUCCCUGCCGUAACACACAGUUAAAGGACAGUGGCCUGCUGGGAAGCGGUGAAAGAACUGGCACUAGUGAGAAAUGUUCUUCAAAACAAACUGUAUUUGGAUCAUCACAUGUGGAUUUGGGAAGUGGUCGAAUAUCAAAAAUGUAACUGAGGCAGUUGGUGGAGGGGAGGUAGUUGGUCGCAUUUCCAGUGAACGCUGGCUUGAGGACCCCUACUCAGUCCUCAGACACGCCUCCUUCACCAGAUGGCACUGAGCAACCGAAUCAAACAAUAACUCCCUUUUCCAAUGUGAUGCGUAUGAAGCAAACUUCUAAUUAUGUUUUGGCUUUCACAUAGUGGAAAGAAGUCACUGAAAAGAGACUCUAUUUAUCUGAAAUCCGUUGUGUCAAACGGUAAGGACAUCCAACAUCUUUGAAAAAUGCUGAUUUAAAAUUCACAGCAACAAUACAUUGGGAAGUGUAAAACACAGAAAAUGGAGACACAUACUCUAUUCUUACCAAUGCUGCUACUUAAGGGGUGUGAGUUCUCUCACAAAGAUAUGAAAAACUACAAAAAAAUGUUUCACUUUUAUUUACUCUUGGGGAAGAUCUACUGUAUGGGGUCUUGGGAUUUAUGAAAUGAACAAGAUUCUCAGAACACCUGCACUUUUUUUUUGUUAUUGUUGGAAGCAAAAUUGUACUGGAGGGAAGUUGACCAUUUAAUGGUAGUUAUCUAGGUAAUUGUGGUGUAUACUUUGUUAACAGAGGGGAGAAUGAGAACUCGGAAUUGUCACUGAAGCGUGGAGUGUGACAUCUCCUAGACCAAGGCGUCUGGGACAGGAAGUUAGGAGAAGAGGGGGACAAACUGUAGCAGAGGAAAGAUGGGGAAAAAGGGUAAGGAUUGUAUCAUUUAAGGUUCUUGGUUUCAAACAAUACAAGCUAAGGAACUAACCAGAAAAUAUAUUAAAAAUAAAAACUAGUGAAAGAUAAGGGGCAUUGACCCAGAACUGAGGAAUUAAGAAAUAAAAGAGAAUGAAAAGAAUUUUAAAAAUUGAAAAGCAGUGAUGUACACAGUAUGGAAGAUAGGAAGUCCUUUCUUUGUCCGACAUGUGGCCAGUGGUGCUGUCCCAACUUAACAUUUGUGCUGAGCUGUGAUAUCUGAUUGUUAGCAUGUUAGCGUGUCACCCAACAUGUUUCACAGUCCUGCAGGAGCAUUUGAUUGAUCAGAUAUGGUAGCUGUUCAGUUGAGGGCGCCGGUGGAUGCUUGCUGUGUGGCAAUCUCCUUUCUACAUCCCUCCUCUGUGCCAGGGGAGCUGCUCCACCAACAGAGUGCAGUGUAAGUCAUGACUGGUAACUUCUGAGUCCAGUACAUAAAAAUUAUUAUUAUUUCUGCCUUGAUUUUUCUUAGAUCACUUCCUCUCGGGAAAGUCAGCUGCCAGACUUUAAGGAUAUUUAAGUAUCUCUUUAAGGAAGUCACAUAAUGAGGGACUGAAACUGCCUCCAAAUAUCGACAACUUGCCCAACUUAGAAGUGUAUGAUCAGCCCAAUCAAUCUUUCCCGUGAUGUCUUGCAGUCUCAUGAGGGACUGGGCCAGAAUAUUCCAACUAGGCUGUGCCUUGAUCGAUUCGUAGAAACUGUAUUAAACAAGAAGGUUUCAUUUUUUUUAAGUGCUAGGGAUGUUUGUUGGACUUCCGUUGUUCUGUCAGGUCACAGCAGUGAAGUGGGGAAAGAUCCACCUCAGCGUAUGGGUUCAUAGAUUUCUAUCCAUCAUGGUGAGGCGAGUGUGGUGAGGCAGAGCCGAUGGCUUAUGACAUUGAGAAAGCUGAGUUGGGAAGAUAGAAGGAGCCAAGCCAGGAUAUGCCCUCCUAAGACAAGCACUCCCAAGGACCGACUGCCUUAGUCAGGCCCCACCUUGCAGUUUCUACACUUCCCAGUAGGCUAUCCAUUCAGAUUUUCAAUCUAUCAAUGCUAUAUGCCAUUGAUUAGAUACGAGUCCUCAUGAGCUAAUUCUCUCUGGAAAUUUCCAGUACUGUGUUUCACUCAUCUGAGCAUCUCUCAAUCCCCUUAAGUUGACACGGAUAAGCAUAUACUAAAUUUUAAGGUACACUGCAGUGCAGAAAUAAUAAGCACGCAGUCCUGGUUCCUGACUGUCAGGAAGAAGGAGGCCCUUUCAUUUCAUCAAGAAUAAAUUAAGUCAGGUUUCAAAAAGAAGAAUUUUAAGUGUGAACAACUAACUGGAUUCCUCCAGUGGUAGAGGCAAGAGUACUGUGGGUUUAAUGACAUUCUGAGUUACAUGGUGAGUCCCUGUCUCAUUCAAAAAUUUAUUUCAUUUUAUUCAUUAUUGUGUAUAUAUGUAUGUGUGGUGCAUGAACUUGUUUGUGUGUGUGUGUGCGCGCGCGCACGUGUGUGUGCAUGUGUACCACAGCAUGCAUGUAGUCACGUGAGGACAAUCUUUGCAGACUAAUGUAUGUGUGAUGCAUGAGCAUGUCUGUGCGUGUGUGCAUGCAUCUAGUCAUGUGAGAACAAUCUUUGCAGACUCAGUUCUUUCCUUCCACUUUUACAUGAAUUCUGGGCGUAGAACUUGAGUCAUCAGACUCGAAUCACAGAGAUAGCUCCUCAGCCCUUGAACAUUUGAGAAAAUUCAUUCUUAAAACCCACUAAUAAACACUUUCACAGCAGCAUUUCGUGUUCCCCACUGCUCUAAAUUCCUUAGAAGCGCCACGUCCUUUAAUCCUCAGAGCCACCCUGGGAAGUAAGCAGUUAGUAUCAUCAGCUUUGGUGGCACCAAAGGCAUGUGUUGAAGACAGGUCUUUUAAAAUGCAUGCAAAGUUAAAAUAUCAUUAAAUCUGGGUCUUAAUCCAAUAUGACCAAUUUCGCUCGGGGGAGAGGAAGGGGAGCCUAAGAUGUAUGGACUGAGGGGGAACAAAACCAUAAUAGGACACAGUAAGAAGAUAGCCCUCUGCCAGUCAUGGAGAGAGCUUUCCAAAGAAGCCAGAUGCGCCAAAAACUUGAUCUUUGGCUUCUAGGAUUAUGGAAACAUAAAUUUCUGUUGUUAGGCUACUCAGUCUGUGGCACUGGCUUGCUGUGGCAGCCUUGGGUGGCUCACUGUAGACACCACCCUAGGGAGGCAGGAGCCAUGCUGCUUUGGUUAUUGGUUUGUCCCUGUAUUCAUUAUGCUAAUCACCUCCACCCGGUCUUUGAGAGCUGCGACUGUGGAUGAAGAGAUCAAAGGCAGAGAAAUGUUAAGUUUACACAGCUUCAGAGAAAAAAAAAUGGGAUUCAAGAUCUCUCUGUGAGUCUUCUAGGUUGCAGCCAGCCGGAUCCUGACAGGGACGUUCUAAAGCUGCUCUUGCUUUAUCCCUGAAAUUGUUGGCCUAGCUUCCCAAUGAGCAUUCAGGGAAGUCCCAAAAGUUGUUUGAUCGUCAUGAGAUCAGAUUGACUAAAAGAGCCAUUCUGAAUUCCUCAAAGGUUGACAGGUUUCACUUCGGAGAUGUGGGAGUGUUUGAAAGGCCGAGGUGUGAAGCACCUUUCACAGUGUCAUUUCCUUACUCUCUGGAGUCUCACUGAGCAUCAGAUUGUCUGAGCCCAGUUCCUAGCCGCCAUUCAAGUGCAGUCAGCAUCUUCAGCUGUGUCAGACACAUCUCCCAGUGAACACCUUAAGAGGGAAAAAAUAGCUUCCAUCAAUGAUUUCCUUCUUUGUGCUGGUGCCAUCCAAAUGUGGUCCAGGAUGAUCCUGUCUUACAGGGACACCCAAUACUCCCACAGUUCCAGAGCACAGCAGCCUUCGCAGUACAUUUGUCCCAGUAAAAUAUUGCAUAGAGGAUGAGAUUCCCAUCUUACACAGCCCCGCAGAAACUUACUGAGGCUUUUCAGUAAGGGCUUCAUUGUUUACCUGCAAAGUUUCUCUCCUCUUAUUCUGAAAAGCUAUCUUUAAAAAGUCUCUCCUUGCAAAGAUCUGAAGAAACCCCCUUGGCUGCCUUGAUCAUUUCAUCUUCAUUCAAACUUCACUUACCAAAACAUAGGUUCCAUCUUCACAGGAGAAGUGGUACUCUAUGACAUUCUCUGCUGUCUACAAAGAACACUGGUGGUACCUCACUGUCUACAGGGACUAUCGGUGAAACUUUGGACCCGGUGUGACUAAGUGUGAAACAGAACAAGCUCUUGAUCAACUCGAGGUAGCUAUCCUUGCUUUAAAGACACGCAGAAUCAAUGAAAGUUUAAACAGCAACACAAAGGGCAGCACCCGUGAGAGCUCAGCCACGCAUUCCUGACAGCUGGAAUCAGACGGCUUGAUCUUCCUCCACCGUCCGUCACUGUGCCCAAAGAGACUUCGCAACACGUUGCUGAUGGUUACUCUUGAUUGUAUAUUUGAUGAGAUUUACAAUCACCAUGGAAAUAAACUUUUGGGUAUCUUUGUCGGGGGGAUAUAGAUUAGGUGAAUUAAGGUGAAAAAAAAUACUCUUCCUAAAUAUGAGUGAAACCAUCCAUGAGAUGAAUUCUUGGGCUGAAUUAAAAAGGAGAAAGAGGGGACAUGCAUUGCUCUCUGCUUCCUGACUGUGGAUGCAAUGUGACCGUCUGUUCCCUGCUGCUGCGACCAUGUAUGCCACACCCUAAAAGAUUACACUUAAGCUGUGAGCCAGAACAAACUUUGACUUCUUUUUAUCAGAGAAAUUAAUGCAUACCUAAUACAGAAAAUUCCUUCAGGAAAAGCAAAGAAUUGCUGAAGCUUCUUCCAUUAGGGAUUCUGACUUGAGUUAAGAAUGGCACGCAAUUACAUGGAGACCUGGUAGAAGCAAGAGUUGGUUACCUCCUUCCCCCCAUAAUCUCAGAACCAGCAGGCAUGCACAUUGCACGUUAGCUUAAGUUUUGCUCAGAUCUGAAAUGUAACUCGCAGCUUCAGUUAUAAGGAUACCCUGCAUUUUUAUCUUGCACUUACUUUGCCGUGUGUUUGGGGACAAUUUGUUUUCUGUUCUAGGACUGCAGAUGAGGCUUGGCUACAGUUCCAGAUGAGAGAGAGAAGAUAAGCAGACUUAUUACCAAGCAUUGGUAGGGCCUGCACUGUGACCAUUAUAUUUUGUUAAUUGUAAAAUGGUCCUUUAGUUGAGUCACUAGGAGCCAAACAUACGUAUUUUACACAUGUGUGAAUCAAAGCAGCAAGCUCUUUGUGGGGAAAGAUAAAAUGGAUGCUUAUCGACUUAAGCUCACGUAUUAGAUUUUGCGUCAGAGAUUUUGUGUUUCUCUGUGUGUGGUAUUUUCAUACAAUGUUAUGAAUAAAUGGAGUAUUAAUUUGCUUAAAGCUAAACAUUGAUGAUGUACAGUGAAUAAUCUGCUAAACGUUAAUACAAUUUAUCCCUUUAUAACUUUAUAAACAUGACAUAUUGCAUAUACUUAGUACUAAUCUGUUUUAGACAUUCAUUUGGGCUGACCUAUGACCAUAAUAUAUUAUGUUCCUUGAGAUAUUUAUCUUGUGAUUUGGAAACAAGAUUACAAUUAAUGUGACACACAUGACUGUAAAUUGCCACUUCAACUAGAGCUGUGUGGGUAAUGAAUUAGCUACAGCUCUGAACCCCUCUGCUCAUAAUUUAAAUUACAAGCCUUUAGUUGAUGUCUGAUUGUGAUCUAUUAAAUGAGUCGCAGAACCAAGCAGCCACAUUUUGUUUUGAUGCUAGAACUAUGGGGGCUAUUUUUCAUUUAAUUUACUUAACCCGAGGCUAAUGUAUCCAAAUUCAUGUAAGGAAAACAAACACAAGAGAGAGCAUUUAUAAUUUACAUUAAUAGCAAAAUAAAAAUGACAUUCAGAGUUGAUCUAAAUUAACUAUACUCAAAAAUUCUUUUGACUCUCUCCAAAAGAAAGAACAGUGAACUCAGUAACCUCACUCCAGAGACAUUUCCAUUUGUCAGUUUUCAGAAGAUCUCACCUUAGGACAAAAAGGAAAGAAAGGAGAAGAAAGAAGGAAGAAGGAAGGAAGGAAGGAAGGAAGGAAGGAAGGAAGGAAAGAAGGAAGGAAACCAAACUGGGGAGAUGGCUCAGUAGGUGAUAUGCGCUUUCUGCAUAGUAUGGGAACCUGAGUUCUGAUCUUCAGCACCCAUAAAAAGACAGAUGAGGUCACAGGGGUCUGUUAUUCCACCACUCCUACAACUAGACAUAAACCAGAGACAGGAGAGUUCCCAGAAGCUCCUGGGACAGUAUCCCGGCGUAGGUAGCCAUGUGGAAGAGACCCUGUCUCACAGAAGGCGGAACAUGAGAACUGCCAUCCACGUUGUCCUGUGAGCUGCAGUUACACGUGGUGAUAGGGACAAUGGCAUGAGUGUGUGCAUGCACAUAAAUCUAAAACAUUAAAGAAAAGAACCCAGCAUCUUAUGACUUCUGUAUUUCCUUCUCAGUAUAGGAUUUGCUAGCCUGCAAGUUCCAGAAUUCAUUGGAUAGACACACGAUGGACAUUUGUUGAAGAUGUUUUCACUAGUAGAUUAAAACCAUAGUAAUAGGACAUUGCAAGUCCCCAGCGUGACUGACUGUAUGGGUUCAUUUCGCUGUACAAUGUAAUUUUUAUGUACACAUUCAUAGUAGAAUGACUACUGCAUUCAAGUCAAAUAGCAUAUCUAUAGCUUCACAUUUUUAUUAGCUUGAAAAUACAUAUCUUAGGUGUAUGAGAACUUUUGUUUUUUAAUGUUCUAGGCUUUUCUGCUUUAUAAUGGAGUCUUACAUAUCACUAAUUUUACAAAAUUAAGCAAGGUCAUAUGCGUGAAUAAUUUAAAACAUCACCUCAUACAAGGUAACUAAUACUGCGGUAGAGUCAGAAUGGAGCGUCCGGGGAGGUUGUGGUAGCAGUAGUAACAUGUUUGCUUAGCAUUUCACAAGUCUCUGGGUUUGAUCCCUAGCAUUCCGUGAGCUGGGUGUGGUGGCACUCCCCUGUAAUCUGAGCACUUGGGGGGUACAGACUGGAGGCGACAUGAUACCCCGUCUCAGACUUUUUUUUAAAGAAAAUAAAACAUUAAAACAAGUUUUGAGGAGAAGGUGAUGAAUCAGUUAUGCGUUCAAGAAUCAGACUUUGGAUAAAAGAGGGAGGGGCCCGAAGCAUUUCAGGCAGAAAACGGACAUGAGCAAGAGAAGGCAGAAGUGAGAACAGCGCCGUGUGAGCCAAAGAGAGGCUUCUGAACAAGGUAGCAGGAGCAAGCUGGCAGCAAGUGGAGAUUAAAUUUGUCCCAUAAAAUGGGUUCAGGUGGCUGGAAGCUGUGUGAGCCAAAGGUGUUUUGACAGUGGAGAAUCCUCAUUUGCUUCACCCUCUGUGUCUGCACUGCAGCCAGAAGUUCUGAUGCCCGAUUGCUGUGAGCGAAGGGCCCGUCUAUGUUAGUCUCACCUGAACUCGUCACAGUGUCUUGAAUACUAUACUCAAUGGCUAUAUGUCCCUCCUGGAAAUUAAUGAUCUUAAAUCAAUCCUCUACUGACAGUGAUCUACCUUGUUUUCUGUUGUACAUGUUUGUGUAUAGCUGCUCCUCUAUAAAAAACCAAAUAUUUGCUGAAGAAAGGAUAUUCACUAAGGCCUCAGGAACUUUAAAAUUAAAACCCCAUGGAAGUGCAACAUAAAGUAUAUUUUAGAAUUAAAUCCUUUUUUCAUUUUGGAAUUAAAGAAUUAUAAACUUUAUUUCAAAAUCCCUGCAAAUAAAAAAAAAGUCACACACCGAAGUUACCCAGACCCAGAGUCUAUACAUCUCAAUGAGCUCAUACACAGCAUAGGUCCUUGAUGUGGAAGCUGUGUGGUUGCCCUGGGGUUUGCUAUUGAAUAUAUUGUAUGCAGUUAUCCAACACCAAUAUCAUUAUGCAGUUAUCCACCACCAAUAUCGUAUCCACCACCAGAUCCCAAAUUCCCAGAUUUAGAGCUGGAGAAACAAUUAGCUAUAAUGCCCCCUUUCAGGACACAUCUCCACCACCUGCCUCUGGUCCUCCCUCAUCCCCUAAUAUUCAGUCUGUCUUGUUCUUUCUGACACCAUACAGUACCUAUUCGUACAUCUGUUUACACAUGUAUAUCAGUUGUUGACAAGACUUCGCAUUGAGCGAUUAUUUCUUUCCAAUAUUGAAUGACUUUGAUUACGAUUAUACAUCCUAAGUCUAAGUCCAUUCAGUUUUGUAUUUCAUUAUGUUGUAAAUGCUGAAAUCCCUUACAGUACAUCUCUUAAGAAAAAUACUCUGAGCCGGGCGGAGGUGGUACACGUCUUUAAUCCCAGGACUUAGGAGGCAGAGGCAGGUGGAUCUCUGUGAA